rnacentral:rRNA from 1 species
AUUGAACGCUGGCGGCAUGCCUUACACAUGCAAGUCGAACGGCAGCACGGGAGCAAUCCUGGUGGCGAGUGGCGAACGGGUGAGUAAUAUAUCGGAACGUGCCCAGUCUGGGGGAUAACGUAGCGAAAGCUACGCUAAUACCGCAUACGAUCUAUGGAUGAAANCGGGGGAUCGCAAGACCUCGCGCGAUUGGAGCGGCCGAUAUCAGAUUAGGUAGUUGGUGAGGUAAAGGCUCACCAAGCCAACGAUCUGUAGCUGGUCUGAGAGGACGACCAGCCACACUGGAACUGAGACACGGUCCAGACUCCUACGGGAGGCAGCAUGGGGAAUUUUGGACAAUGGACGCAAGUCUGAUCCAGCCAUUCCGCGUGCAGGAUGAAGGCCCUCGGGUUGUAAACUGCUUUUGUACGGAACGAAAAGGUUUCUAUUAAUACUAGGAGCUCAUGACGGUACCGUAAGAAUAAGCACCGGCUAACUACGUG